GACGUAGGGCGCGAGCGUUGUCCGGAUUUAUUGGGCGUAAAGAGCUCGUAGGCGGCUUGUCGCGUCGAAUGUGAAAAACUCGGGGGCUCAACUCCGAGCUUGCAUUCGAUACGGGCAGGCUAGAGUUCGGUAGGGGGAGACUGGAAUUCCUGGUGUAGCGGUGAAAUGCGCAGAUAUCAGGAGGAACACCGGUGGCGAAGGCGGGUCUCUGGGCCGAUACUGACGCUGAGGAGCGAAAGCGUGGGGGAGCGAACAGG
rnacentral:rRNA from 1 species